CCUACGGGAGGCUGCAGUGGGGAAUAUUGGACAAUGGGGGGAACCCUGAUCCAGCCAUGCCGCGUGUGUGAAGAAGGCCCUCGGGUUGUAAAGCACUUUCAGUGAGGAAGAACGCCUGGUGGUUAAUACCCAUCAGGAAAGACAUCACUCACAGAAGAAGCACCGGCUAACUCCGUGCCAGCAGCCGCGGUAAUACGGAGGGUGCGAGCGUUAAUCGGAAUUACUGGGCGUAAAGCGCGCGUAGGUGGCUUGAUAAGCCGGUUGUGAAAGCCCCGGGCUCAACCUGGGAACGGCAUCCGGAACUGUCAAGCUAGAGUGCAGGAGAGGAAGGUAGAAUUCCCGGUGUAGCGGUGAAAUGCGUAGAGAUCGGGAGGAAUACCAGUGGCGAAGGCGGCCUUCUGGACUGACACUGACACUGAGGCGCGAAAGCGUGGGUAGCAAACAGGAUUAGAUACCCUUGUAGUC
rnacentral:rRNA from 1 species